AAGGAACAGAAAAGAAACAGAGAUCAUAGGAAAACUGCGAAUAAAUACCUGAUAUCUUCCAAAGGAUUAGAGAAGACAUAACAUUCAUUAAGAAUGCACCUAUAGAUGGAAGAGGCCUGAUAACCUGCAUUUCUAAGAAGCUCCAAGGUGCUGCCACAGGGCUCUGCCUAGUAACCAUGGAUUCCACAGCCCCAACAGACACCAGAGAACAUCCCACCAUUCCGCCUGCACCCAAUCAGCAGUGGGCAUCCUGGAUUGGUUAAUUUUAUGAUCAGUUAGAGGGAGAAAUUUGUAAAUGAAAUCUACUUGUCUCAAAAAAAAAAAAAAAAAUCCAGUAGGAAUGAUUUACAGUAUAAGUUAAGCUUAUCUAUGACCUUCAGCUUCCCCACUUUCUCACCGUGUGGUGAGAGCUGGCACAGUUUUGAAUGUUGGGAUGUAGAAAACCGGCAAUUUUGAGAAUGUUAUAUACUAAAGAAUGGGACAGUUCAAGUCAAAAAUUGAUAAAUGGUAACUUGUGCUCUUGCUGGUUAUUUAUUAAACACGUACUGGCUGAGAACUUACUAUGUGCCAAGCAUUGCACAGCUCCUGCAGAGUGCCAGGCCUGUCAAAACGUACCCAACAAGAAGCAUUAUUUACAGGCACUGUUUACAGACACUGCACCCAGCUUCCAUCUCUGCACUUGCUAUGCACCAUGUAGGUUUAUCAUCCCCAUUUUACAGAUGAAAAGACCCAGGCACAGAGAGGUUGAGAAACAUGCUUCAUGUCACACAGCCAAUGGUGGGACUGAGAUCAUUGUUUUAACUUGGUCAACCAAGUCAACUUCAACCGAAACCAUUAGAGAGACUUUCUCUUAUUCUGCUACUUCUCUGAGAACCUUGUCCUGGGAAUCUUGGUAAAAUGCAGAUUCUGAUUUCCUUUCUCAGGGAAGAGCCUGAAUAACCUGCAUUUCUAAGAAGCUCCAAGGUGUUGCUGCUAGUUCCAGGAGCACACUUUUGAAUUUGGAGACUGAGGUAUUUAAGAGUCUGUAUUGUGAAAAUGGAGGGCAGUGUAAUGAAGUGGGAGGAGUGUUAGAUGGGAUUGUGAGGCCUGGGAACGGAACCAGGACCUCAGACAUCUGUGUCCCCUUAUGCUUGUCACUUCACUUUCUUGGACUCAGAUGAGAUCUCUAAAGUAUAACUUCUGCUUUGGUAGCCUGCACAGUGUGUGAAAGUGUCGUUGUCUUCUAUGAAUCCUAGCUGAUGCAGAACCCUUAAAUUAGUUUAGAUUUGAAGAUAUAACAAAAUAAUAUACUUUAAAAAAGUGACGGACUGGGCACGGUGGCUCACACCUGUAAUCCCAGUACUUUGGGAGACUGAGGCGGGUGGAUCCUUUGAGGCCAGGAGUUCGAGACCAGCCUGGCCAACAUGGUGAAACCCCAUCUCCACUAAAAAUAAAAAAUUAGCUGGGUGUGGUGGUGCGUGCCUGUAAUCCCAGCUACUCGGGAACCUGAGGCAGAAGAAUCGCAUGAGUCCAGGAGGUGGAGUUUGCAGUGAGCCGAGAUUGUUCUACUGCACUCCAGCCUGGGUGACAGAGUGAGACUCCGUCAUACACACACACACACACACACACGCACACACACACUCACUCUGAAAGGUUUUCCCCCAUCCCCAUUAUAGAGUAUUUGAAAAAGUAAAAAGGAAGAAAAGAAUCACCAUCUCUCACUCCAAAGUCCCUUGUGUUUGAACAUUUUGGUCUAUUCCCAUUAUUUUCUGUGGAAACUGAUUUACUUUUUUGUAUGCAUACUUUUGAUGACAUGAUAGAUAUAGUUUCUGUGUGGCUGUUAUUUAGCAUUACAAAGUAACUUUUAUAUGUUAUUAAAAAGUCUUAUUUAAUGGCUACAUUAUACUCCAUUCUAUGAAUAUAGCUUACAGUGUGUAUAGUCUUACUUUUGUUGUAGCUAUUUCUGAUAUUUUGCUGUUAUAAAUAAUUCCUCUGUUUAGGGUUAUUUCCUUAGAUUCUCACAUUUAGUUAAAGAAUUUGAAGAGUUUAAGGCCUAUGGGAAAGCUUUUAAGAAUAAUAGUCUCUCUUUGCUAAGUAAAUUUUUAUCUGGAAAAUUUACCUGUGUAGGGACGGAUUAAUGGAAAUUACCACACCUGAGGAGAUACACUCUUAAUUCACUAAAAGCAAUAAUAAUAAUAUUUGUGGCCAACCUGUGUUGAUGAGUUAGUAGGUCCGAGGCACUGUGCUAAGUUUAUUAUCCUUAUUUUACAGAUGAAGAAAACCUGCUUGAUAUCAUAUAGUCAGGAGCCAACCAAGUUGGGGCUUUGAACAUAGGUUUAUCUGAUGCCAAAGUUUGUGAUGCUCUUCAACUAUUUAGGGUGCCUCAGAGUGUGGAUUUUGAAUCACCUGCAUCAGCAUCAUUUAAAAAUAUGGAUUCUGUGGUGCUGACCAGAUCUCUGAAGUCAAAAUAUGAAGUGGAGCUAGGAAUCUACCUUCUUAACAAGUUCCCUAGAUCCCUGAGGGUAUCCCUGAAUGAUACAGUUUUGUUUGAAAGACUGAAAAGUCCAAACCUGGCACUUUUGGGAAAUAGCAGUAAAUCAUUGAUAUGUGAAGGUUCCCAGCAGGAGGAUAAAAAUUUACAGGAAUUCAGAGGAAAAUAUUUCAGUGGUCAUUACUAAAACACUCAGAGUCAGAUACAUUCAGCAUCAUACCGUAAGUCCCGUUAGUCAAAGCAUAAACAAGUGCAGAACCUGGCGGGGCUUCCUUCAAGUCAGUUGAGUCCGUCUGGGAGGAUUCACUCAGCAAGAGGCAGAGGAACCAAGGCAGGAUGAAGACAUUGCCUGUGCUCGUGCUGUCUCUUACCUUACUGACUGUCUUCUCAGGUGAGCACUGACUCCAAAAACAGCCUAUUUCUAUGCUGACAUGAUAAAUAAUAGUCUAUUUAAUAUUUAAUUUUUAAAAUUUUAAAUAAUAUAUAGGGUUUAUAGAUAUUUCAAUGCUUUUUCUUUUCUUUUUUUUUCCAUAAGAGCCGGCUUCCAGAAUUUUUAUCAUUAAAGUUACGUUAUAUAUUUUUAAAAAAAUCUUGAAAUGUAUUUGAGCACUAAUUCUCAAAAAUGCUGAUAAAUCUUCAGCUUCUGAUAGCUUAUUUUAGAGUUUAUAUGAGAUCACCAAAAUUUCAUAUAUUUUUAUUAUGAUAAUGUCUUUUAGAAUUUGCAAGUAAUUAUCAAAGCACUUUUGUACUAUCUCCUUUGAGGGGUUGUGAUGAUCAAGUUUAACAUAAUCUUCUUAUCACUGGGCACCUUCCAGUAAUGACUUUAAACUUGAUUUAGUGUAUUGAGGAUUAAAAAAACUUCCAUGAAAGCAAGCCUAAGAGACACAGACCAGUGAACUGAAGAUCCAUUAAAAUAAUCCUCACUUUUAAAGAGAUGGACCGUUGCAAUCAGUAAAUAUGUUUAGGUUGUGCAACUUUUGCUCUGAGUUAACUAUGCUCGAAACAAUUCAAAAUUGCUUCCUGAGCCCUCUGGAAUGCUGCGUCCUUUGGGACAGGUCCCCGGGAAAGAACUUUCGUGUUUUAACCAAAAUUGAACUUGCAAAUCUUUUGCCUUGGACUGCUGGGAUGGCUCAUGAACUCCUGAACCUGAGCGUCCUUAAGGCACCUUCCCGACUUUUCCAGAGACCUCCCCGAUUUUGACGGAGAAGCAGGCCAAACAGCUCCUAAGAUCUCCGCGACAGGAUAGACCAAGCAAACCUGGAUUCCCCGACGAGCCAAUGCGGGCUCUUCUUAAGAUAUAGUAUUGCACAGUGAUGAAGAGUGCUGACUCUGGGGUCAGACUGGGUUUGAAUCUCCCUGUUUUCUAACUGGACUUGAAUGGAUAUCUACUGAAGAAGAUAUACAGAUGGCAAGUAAGCAUGUGAAACAUCAUACGUCAUUAGGGAAAUGCAACUUAAAACAGCAGUGAGAUGGCACUAUACACCUAUUAGAAUGGCCAAAAUCCGGAACACGGACAACACCAAAUGCUGGAACACAUGCACCACCUGCUCGCCCUGGAGCAUCGCGCCGAGGAGCAGUUCCUGGAGCACUGGCUGAACCCUCACUGCAAACCCCAUUGUGACAGGAACAGGGUU